GGUUGUGGCUCAGUGGUAGAGCGCUUGCCUAGCACACAUGAGGCGUUGGGUUCGAUCCUCAGCACCA
rnacentral:tRNA from 1 species